GUGAAGCUAGGCAAAUACGACACACUUUUCUCUUGCAGUCUUUUCUCCAGAUGAAAAAAGUCAUUACCACAAUGAUACUCCUAAUUAUACUGUCAUUAGGGUACUGCUGCAGUGCAUGCAGCCGGCUUGCUUAGGCAAACGGAUAGAAUGUGGCAUGCAGAAGCAGGCCGCCUUUAACUGCUUUGCAGUAAACAAAACUGCCCUUCCAGUUUAACCAGUUAGCCCUUGUUUGACGUGGCACCUUUUUAAAGGGUCCACCUUAUUUCUGCGAUAGUUGUUUUGAACUGUUUCUGACUUUGUGUUUUAAUUCUUGUAACCCACCUCAAAGGGCAGGUAAUUAAAUUAAUAAUAAUAAUAAUAAUAAUAAGCAAUUUUCUUAAUAGUACUGGACUUGAACACAAGAAACAGUACUUUAAGACAAUAGGACAGAUUUGUAGUGUACCAUACCCUCCAAUAUUUCUUGAGUGAAAAUAGGGACAUUUUAUUUAUUUAUUUAUUAUACUAUUUAUUAUACUAUUUAGGCCCUGCCCAUCUGACUGGGUUGCCCCAGCCAUUCUGGGUGGCUUCCAACAUAUAUAAAAUCAUAAUAAAACAUUAAAGAUUUAAAAACUUUCCUAUAGAGGGCUGCCUUCAGAUGGCUCAGGAGUCAGAUAGCUUCAUACCCUCCAAAAUUUCUCUGAUUAAAAAUAGGGUUAGGGAAAUGUGGGACAUUCCAGCAUCAAAACAGAAACCAGGACAGCUUCUGUAAAUCCAGGACUGUCCCUGGGAAAUGGGGACAUAUGGAGGGUCUAGUGUAUCUGUCACAUGUCAUUCAUUAAGGCCUCUUCCCCUCACUAUCUGUGAGGUGCCCAUGCCUCAUCUGCUAGAUGUAAGUAUACUGAGUGGAUCAAUAAUUUUGUCGUUCUGAGGCUCAAAGGGUUCUGAGACUGUACUGAAUCAACAACAAUCUCAGAAGUCUGGUCCAUGUGCUUUGUUUUUGAAGGUGUAGCUUGGCUGCCAGGUCCUACUUUGCCAUGGAUGUUCCUCUAUUUGGUGGAAGCUUGAUUUGAAGAUCAAGAACCUUAAGAUGGGAGAGGAGGUCCCUUGAAGUGACCAUCAACAGUUCGCACCUGGACAGCAGACUGAGAAGGCAUCUGCUAGCAGUCUUCUCCACUAUAAGGAGAUGCAGUUGUUUCAAAAUGUAUAGCUAGCUAUACAUAUCAUUCAACAUGUGGAAAUUUAAGGCAAA